rnacentral:rRNA from 1 species
UACGUAGGCGGUUUGGUCAGUUAGAUGUGAAAGCCCAGGGCUCAACCUUGGAAUUGCAUUUAAUACUGCCAGACUUGAGAUCGGAAGAGGAAAGCGGAAUUUCUAGUGUAGAGGUGAAAUUCGUAGAUAUUAGAAGGAACAUCAGAGGCGAAGGCGGCUUUCUGGUCCGAUACUGACGCUGAGGUACGAAAGCGUGGGGAGCAAACA